GACGAACGCUGGCGGCGUGCUUAACACAUGCAAGUCGAACGGAAAGGCCCUGCUUUUGUGGGGUGCUCGAGUGGCGAACGGGUGAGUAACACGUGAGUAACCUGCCCUUGACUUUGGGAUAACUUCAGGAAACUGGGGCUAAUACCGGAUAGGAGCUCCUGCUGCAUGGUGGGGGUUGGAAAGUUUCGGCGGUUGGGGAUGGACUCGCGGCUUAUCAGCUUGUUGGUGGGGUAGUGGCUUACCAAGGCUUUGACGGGUAGCCGGCCUGAGAGGGUGACCGGCCAAAUGGGGACUGGGAAAAGGCCCAGACUCCUAGGGGGGGAAGGAGGGGGGAAAAUGGCAAAAGGGGGGGAAGCCGGAUGAAGCAACGCCGGGGGGGGGAGGACGGCCUUGGGGUUGGAAACCGCUUUGGCCUGGAACGAAGGGGGGGGGACGGUAAUGGGUAAAGAAACACCGGCUAAAUACGG
rnacentral:rRNA from 1 species